AAUGAACUCGCCUGUUUGCGCUCCCCUGGCCCCUCUCUCCUCCCACCGCCCGGGGGGCACUGUAUAUAUCCGCCUCUCCUUGCCCGCCUCGAGCACUUUGGGGGCUCCCCCCUGCUGCCCCCCUCUCCCGCCGGGGAUGGAGCGAGGAGUGAAGAGGACGGGGCCGGCUCUCCCCGCCGCCCGCUCCAGUGCCCACCUGCGGCACCCUGUGCUCCUGCACCUCCUGCACCUCCUGCAGCUGGCGGGGGGGGCACCCCUGGGCCCGGCGCUGUACCCCAUGCCGCCCGGCGUCCUGCAAGCGCUGUCAAGCCGGGGGACGCUGGUGCUGGAGGCAGCGCUGAGGAGUGCCCUGUUGGCUCUGGAGGGGGCCCUGGCCGAGCACCAGCGGCAGCGGGGUGCCUGUGGGCUCUGUGCCCCCUGCCUCUUCCCGCCCUGUGCCAACAUCACUCACCGCUGCCCACCGCCGGCUGUGCCUCCCACCAUGCCCCCCAGCUGCCAGGCCCUGCUCGAUGCCCAGGCGCUGCCCGAGCUGCCCCAGCGCAACUGGGCGCUGAGCCAA
rnacentral:lncRNA from 1 species